AGUCUUAGAAGUGCUGUAAUCUGAAAGAAAAAAAUGAAACUUUCCACUUCAUCACUCUGGUAUAUUAUUAUUUUUAAAAAGAUGCAAGUUGUCAUAUGAAAAUGGAGGCAUUAAUUCCUUAACCUAUUCCAAAACUUUAGCUCAUAUUUGCCAAGAAAACAGAAUGCGAAUGGGAAGCCGUGUUUCUGCUUGAGGCAGUAGGAAGCAGGAGACCAAAAAGUCGUCUUAAUGUUAAGCAAAACUUUGAAUCAGCAUUUAAAUUAGAUAUGCUUUAACGGCUAAUGUUAUUUGAAAGCUGAAUAGCCAAUGUCAAAAAUAGAUUUCCCUUUCUUUCCAAAGUGCAGACGGGGUCCAGAAAGGGGCAAAAAUAACCACAUGCCUUUCUUGGACUCCUGACUCUUACCACCCAAAGGGUUUUCUUGUGUAGCAACCAACAAUUCCUUGGAUGGAAACACUGGAUAGGCUAGUCAUUAUUUUGAGAUUGAAGGGACUGCAGAUUCUUGGCAGACCUCUGUUGUUUUUCUAGAGUUGUAGGCAAGUAGUUGGACAAAAAGCAAGAAGCUGAUCGAUGUUGCUGGCUUUGGAUUCUUUGUGAACAAAUGAGACAAGCUGCCAGAGGGAUGCUAACACCGCCCACGUGCUGCAGCAGGACUUUGGAAGGGGAACCAGCACUGUAAUGAAGUGUUGGGUUGGCUCAAGUCUUGUCUGGACCACAAACCAUUUUUCAACCACUAGUGUGCCUUUAAAACCCAAACCAACUGUGAGAGUGGUUUUCUACUUUGAUUCUAGAUGGGAAAAUAUUUUGCUUUUUUGGUGGAUGACAGUGUCAGGUCCCAAAUGGAUUUGGUUUCAUCCUCCAGCACGCAUGCAUAUAACGUGAAACAUGCCCACACUCUGCAAGGGCCACAGCCACCCCACCAUUAUGUUCCAAGGCAAAUAUGCGUCCGCGGGUCCCCGGGAAAGUAAAGGAGUUUCACAUUGAGGAGCCGAGCCACACAGUCUAGCAGUUCUGAUGUCUCUCCAAGGCCCACAGAUCCUGGUCUACUAACUUAAGGCCCCUUUUGUCUAAAAUAGUGAUGUACAUUAAAUGCAAAGGGCAAAUGGAACCAUUGAAAAGUACUUUUUGCAUCCAAAACAGCCAACGCUUUGGUGCCUGCUAUGUGUCAGACACUGAUUCUUCUGUCAUCCUUAUUCUACUGAUGAGGCAACUGAGGCAGCUUCAGAGAGUUCGAGUAACCUGCGGAUCACACAACUAGGAAGUAAGAGAGCUGGAACUUGACGUUGGGCUGUUGACCUCCAGAAAUGGUGUUUUUUCCAGUACUCAGUGCUGCCUCUGACUCCAUUGUGAUGGUUGAUUUUAUGUGUCAACUUGACUGGGCCCAGGGGUACCCAGAUAUUUGGUCAAACAUUAUUCUGGGUGUUUCUGUGAGGGCGUUUUGGGUGAGAUUAACAUUUAAAUUGGUAGACUGAGUAAAGCAGAUGGCCCUCUAUGAUAUGGCCAGGCCUCAUCCAAUCCAUUGAAAGCCUGAAUGGAACAAAAAGGCCAACCCUCCCUCAGUAGGAGGAAAUUUCGUCUGCUUGACUGCAUUCAAACUAGGACGUCAACUUUUUCCUGCCUUUGGACUUGAAUAGAAACAUCAGCUCUUCCUAGAUCUUCAACCUGCCAGGCUUCAGAUUGAAGUUUAUACCAUCAGCUCUCUUGGUUCUUGGGCCUUUGGACCCAGACUGUAAGUGCACCAUCCGUUCUCUUGGGUCUUGCUUGCUGACUCACCCUGCAGAUUUGGGGACUUAUCAGCCUCUAAUUCUGUGAGCCAAUUCCUUCUAAUAUAUCUCUCUAUACGCAUCCUGUCUCACUGGAAGAACCCUGAUACGGUUAGGCUUUGUGUCCUCAUUCAAAUCUCAUCUUGAAUUGUAAAUCCCAUAAUCCCCAUAAUCCCCAUGUGUCAGGGGAGGGAUCAGGUGGAGGUAAUUGCAUCAUGGGAGCAGUUUCCCCUGUGCUCUUCUCACGAUAGUGAAAGAGUUCUCACAAGAUCUGAUGGUUUUAUAAGGGGCUCUUCCCCCUUUGCUCUGCACUUCCCCUUCCUGCUGCCUUGUGGCCUUGUGAAGAAGGUGUCUUGCUUCCCCUUUGCCCUCCUCCAUGAUUGUAAGUUUCCUGAGGCCUCCCCAGUCAUGCAGAACUGUGAGUCAAUUAAACCUCUGUCCUUUAUAAAUUACCCAGUCUCAGGCGGUUCUUUAUACCAGUGUGAGAAUGGACUAAUACAAACCCUAAUACAUCAAUUUCUUUUUUGAUCUACCAGGCAAUCCUGUGAAGUAGAUGGGUCAGGUAAUAUCAUUGCUAUUUGACAGAUGAGGGAGAACAAGACCUAGCAAAUGAACACGCAUGUGUUACAUGCUCACAUAGUCACACACAUGCUCGCAUGCGUGCGCGUGCACACACACACACACACACAUAUACAUACAGACCACGCACUUCAGGACGAAGGUCAGAAUCCAGGUCUAAUCAUUUAAGUAAGUGCUUCUUCCCCAGGGUGU
rnacentral:lncRNA from 1 species